rnacentral:lncRNA from 1 species
UGGUAUUUCAGAUCUGCGUAUCUAUUGCUAUGCAUUGCAGCAUUGGUGAGGCAAGAGAGCAGUGUGAAAGGUGAUGGACUACAUCAUCCAAACUAUACACCAAAAUUUCCAAUAUGAAAGGCACCAAAAUUUCCAAUAUGAAAGGUGAUGCACACAGUUUUUAUAAUACCAUUUCUUCUCAGAAUUUGGCCAACAUUGGAAUCCGUAAAGAAGACCAUGAAUGAGAUUUUUAUUUUUAUUUUGUUAAAUCGAGAUUACUCAAUUUUCUCAAAAGUUUUUUAGCAAUGACUGAAAUUUUGAUCUUCUAAAAU